GGGGUGCGGACAGUGUCUGGUGGGUAGUUUGACUGGGGCGGUCUCCUCCCAAAGCGUAACGGAGGAGCACGAAGGUUGGCUAAGCAUGGUCGGACAUCAUGCGGUUAGUGCAAAGGCAUAAGCCAGCUUGACUGCGAGAGUGACGGCUCGAGCAGGUACGAAAGUAGGUCUUAGUGAUCCGGUGGUUCUGAAUGGAAGGGCCAUCGCUCAACGGAUAAAAGGUACUCCGGGGAUAACAGGCUGAUACCGCCCAAGAGUUCAUAUCGACGGCGGUGUUUGGCACCUCGAUGUCGGCUCAUCACAUCCUGGGGCUGAAGUAGGUCCCAAGGGUAUGGCUGUUCGCCAUUUAAAGUGGUACGCGAGCUGGGUUUAGAACGUCGUGAGACAGUUCGGUCCCUAUCUGCCGUGGGCGUUGGAAGAUUGAAAGGGGCUGCUCCUAGUACGAGAGGACCGGAGUGGACGCACCGCUGGUGUUCGGGUUGUCAUGCCAAUGGCACUGCCCGGUAGCUAAGUGCGGAAGAGAUAACCGCUGAAAGCAUCUAAGCGGGAAACUUGCCUUGAGAUGAGUCUUCCCUGACUCUUUAAGGGUCCUAAAGGAACGUUUAAGACGAAGACGUUGAUAGGCUGGGUGUGUAAGCGUAGCGAUACGUUGAGCUAACCAGUACUAAUGAACCGUGAGGCUUAACCUG
rnacentral:rRNA from 2 species